GAUGAACGCUAGCGGCGUGCCUAACACAUGCAAGUCGAACGUGAGAAAGACUUCGGUCUUUUGAAAGUGGCGGACGGGUGAGUAAGACGUAGGUGACCUGCCUUGAAGUGGGGGAUAACCAUUGGAAACGAUGGCUAAUACCGCAUAAGCUGGUGACGAUGGGAAUCGUUAUCAGGAAAGCUUUAGUGCUUUGAGAGGGGCCUACGGCCGAUUAGCUAGUUGGUGAGGUAAAGGCUCACCAAGGCGAUGAUCCGUAGCUGGUCUGAGAGGAUGAUCAGCCACACUGGAACUGAGACACGGUCCAGACUCCUACGGGAGGCAGCAGUAGGGAAUAUUGGACAAUGGGCGCAAGCCUGAUCCAGCCAUGCCGCGUGAGUGAAGAAGGCCCUCGGGUUGUAAAGCUCUUUUGUCCGGAAAGAAAAGCACUGGGUUAAUACCCCGGUGUCCUGACGGUACCGGAAGAAUAAGCACCGGCUAACUUCGUGCCAGCAGCCGCGGUAA
rnacentral:rRNA from 1 species